AACCUUAUGGACCUGCGGGCGUAUACCUGCGGAAGGAUCAUUACAUGAUUGAGCAGAGAGCGGCGGCUUCGGCCAAAGCUCUGUCUGCACCCAUGUCUUUUGCGUACUUCUUGUUUCCUCGGUGGGCUUGCCCGCCGAUAGGACAACCUUAAACUCUUUGCAAUUGCAAUCAGCGUCUGAAAAACUAUAAUAGUUACAACUUUUAACAAUGGAUCU
rnacentral:misc_RNA from 1 species